rnacentral:lncRNA from 1 species
UUGCUUCUUGCAUGCUGGGCAUCAUGUAUACAUACUAUUUAUCGAAUAUUUGGCCGCAUAUACAGAGUAUUAAAUCUAUCCCUAAUACUAAAAGGACAAAAUUUCAGCCAAAAUUUUGAUCUCGACUAACUUUCUGGCCUUGGACCGACGUCUCGUAUCGAGAUAGAAUAGGAAUCCAAAUCAGACUACCUUUUCUCCUCAAAUCAAAUUAAUAAAUUGAUUGCUACCUCCAUGAGACCACGGUUCUUCAAAUCAACUAUUUUGAAACAAAAUCAAUACAAAUUAUAGAUCGAGCUCGCCGGUGGAUGGGCGCUAGCGGAGCAGAGCGCCUUGGUCGGACAUGGGCGACCCUGGCUCUACUUCGCCGGAUCUGAGGAAGAGGCAAGGAGUGUGCGUCAAAAACAUGAGGAAUACUGGGCAUCAGACUCGAACUCCACCUGAACCCGGAGACUUAGGCGAUGCAAGGAGAGAGAGGUAGGGGGAAGGUGGUGCUCACUCUACUCCCAGGGCGAAGGUCUUCAUGGCCUCGGCGAUCUCCUCCUGCGUGGGCGGGUCGGCAACGACGAGCAUGCUUUUGGCGGCGCCCUUGGGCACCUAGGAUAUGGCGGAGAUCAUCCCCAUGAGCGAGGCCUCCAUCGGAUGAGAUGAGCGAGUCCUCUCUCUUCUCUGAUGGUUUGUCGCUGAAGUGGCGCAUGGCGGGAAGCGGAGGAGGCCGACGGCGAGGGAGAAAGAGAGAGUGUAUUAGAGGAUGAGGAGGUGGUUGUGCCGACCGACCAAGGAAGAGCAGUGGGGGCUAAGGUUUAGAUGAGUUGGGUUGGCUUGGGCCGUGCGCUUGGACGUGUCACGUGUGCAGCGCAGGGGCAUGAAGAGGCAACGAGGGGAAGAGGAAAAAAAUGCGUGACGGAAUUGGGCUGACCCGUAAUGUCACUAGAUGGGCUGGCUGUCUUUGGGCUUGCUCAAGGUAUUUUACUAUUUUUUACCUCCUAGACGAUAAUAAUUUUUCUCCUUAAAUUUACUAGAGAUAUCUCUGGGAAGAGGGAGGGGGGAAUAGCUAGAAAAUUCUGGGAAAUUCCAAAACCAUUCUAAUUGAUUUCAAAAACACGUUUUAAAAACUGUACAUAACAGAAACAUGAGAUGCACCCAGCAUGAAUGUGUUCAGCAUUAAAUAUGUGUGUAGCAUUUUUGUUUGUUGCAUCUGAUAUUUUUGCUAUGAAAAAUUUUUAAAAAUAUGCUCUGACAUUAAUUGGAAUGUUUCGUAAACAACAAAACAUAAAUAAAUAAAUAAAUAAAUAUGUAUCAUUCUGGUCCUUAUAUUUUGUAAAUAUUUGAUAGAUUUUUUUCUA